CUUCAGACGGUGCUCUUCCGAUGGGAGAUACCAUGAUCACGAAGGUGGUUUUCCCAGGGCGAGGCUUAUCCAUUGCACUCCGGAUGUGCUGACCCCUGCGAUUUCCCCAAAUGUGGGAAACUCGACUGCAUAAUUUGUGGUAGUGGGGGACUGCGUUCGCGCUUU